CGCGCCUGUGGAUUGGGCCCGGAGCUUGCCAGAAAGGAAAGCGGCAGAUGUCGUUGGUCAUCGCCGCCCUCGCCCCACCUGUCGCGGGUGGACUUUGGGGCGGGUGGUAAGCGUAGGAAAGGGAUUUCGAAGCGGGCAGCAGUCAGACCUUGAGUAGCGGCCCCAUUGUGAAGCUGCCAAACUCUCUCUAGCGGUGGAAUCUGCAAAUCUCUGCCAGAAUGGAGAUAAAAACGCGAAGGGAAUGGUGGCCCUGUCCUUUUCCCCUURCAAGUGUUCCACAUCCUUAGGGACUCCCUGCUUCUCCACCCACGCCAGUGUGCACCGGUAUCUGGAGUAG
rnacentral:lncRNA from 1 species